AAUCAGUGCCUGGAGAGCAGAAAGAAGAAAAUUAGUGUGAUGCUCACUCGUGGGAACAUACAGCAAGAUUAUAAACACUCCUACUAAAGGCGGCGAGAAGGAAUAGGAAUCAGGAAGAUUUAACACUGAGAAGUCACCUAUGCUGAUCCUAAAGCCUGGACUCAACUGUGUAAUGCUAGGUAGAAAUCCUCUAAACAAGCUCCAAAACCGUGGCAGAGACACCAGCAAACACGCCUCCAACAGCAGAAUGGAUGGCCAGAUACAUUACCAUCUUCAGGUUGCGUGCACCGAAGAAGAAGGGCGGCCAAGCCCAGUUCAGGGCCAGCUGAGCCCCGUAGAGGCCGAGCGGGAUGACAGCUUUGCUGCUGCAGCCGCCCAGGUCAUUCCAUAUCAGUGCAAGAAGAGAGAAGGAGGCACGGAAAAUUCCCUCAUCCUGAGAAACAUCCCUCGCAUUCUGAACACCAGUCGGAGGAGCAGGGAGCACAAGGAGAGGACUGAUCUGCAUAUGCUUCUCUGUUUGGGAUUCUAAUCCACAAUUAACACUUUGCUAUAGCCUAUGCUAAUUGUUAUUAUUAUCAUCCUGCUACAAAGCGUUCGUCUUCAGAAACACACACAAGCCAGUUUAUACAUCAAUAAGGAACAAAUACGCCAGACACUAUCUCUAACUAACAAUUCCCUUACCAGACAAUUUAUAGCACUAUUAAAGUGUCUGUGGGACCAGAAAAUCAACCAGACACUGAGAGAAAUAAUAGCUGCUAGUCCUGCUUUUAAAGUGUAAAACAGCAGCAGCUGAGUUUCAGUUCUUCUCAUGGUACUUCCAUAGCAAACUGGGUAAAGCAGAUUUUUACCCCUUCCCAAUUCUUUUGAAGCUGGGAGGUUGCAGAAGUAACUGAAGGUUGCAAAUAACAUAGUGUUUUUAUAUCUUGUUUUGCCUCAUAGUUGGUGUAAUUAUGGAGUCUGAGCUAUAAAAAAACUUACCGUCUCUUACCACCUUUCUCUCCCUCGCAAAGAAAAAGGGUUGGACAUCCAAGGCCAGCUUCUGCUUGUAGUGCUGGUGCUUCUAUACAAUGAAGGGAACAUCAGCUGAGUUUUACCUAAACAGCAGAAAAAAGGGUGUGUAUGCGUGCGCACUGGUGGCUGUGUCAGAUUACACCACAGAGCCCAAAUUCAGCAAGAAUUACAAGGAUCCUCAGCAGUGGGUGAGCAGCUGGGGGGGGGGGCAAGCCUAGCUUUUGGCUGCAAACACCACAGCAAUGCCACAAGUGAGGCGCUGGGCUUGGUUUGAGGAUGAGCAUCAUGCCUGUAGGACAGAGGGUGACUUUAUGGGACAGAACAGCACCCUUUGGUCUGGCUGGGAGUGCAUUGCCCAUGCAAACAUACAAAGCAUGUCAUGCAAGAGCGUGCUAAUUGUACAACAGCUUUGGGUAAGGGAUCCAGGGCAUAACAGUAUGAAUUCUGUGCAGGGGUAUGAGCUAUACUGAUUUACUCCACCUGAGGAUCUGGCCCAGAGUGUGCAGACAUCCAGGGGUGUGAGUGCAGGGCAGAAGGAGCCCACUGUGCCUGCAAGGGCCUCUGCCAUCCCCAGGGAAUGUUCAACAGACUGCUCGUGAACGAAAUGCUUCCCAUGGUUGCCUGUCCACCAGCCUUUGGGCUAAAAAUCGCUGGGAACCACUUGAAUUUAAAAUAAAGACAUUACAUGAGCAUGCUAAAUGAAAAAGAAAAAAGCUAGAAAUCAAUUUCCAUUAGUAAGCUGUCUGCGAGGGAUGGGGAAUUAAACACUAAUUUACUUCGGUUAUGGGUCAUUACCUGAAUUUCAUGGCCGGAUGCAGGAUGGCUGGUUCCUAGCAGAAUGCAGUAGUACUGUUAUGACACAGAACCAACGAGAUCUUCUCUUUUAUUGGGCUCAGAAGAAAAUUAUUUUUUGUGGGAGGAGAAAGGAAAAAAUAACCGCAAAGGUUUUCAGCCAGCACAAAUCAAUACAGUGCUAUGGAGGUAGCGUGUUUAUAUACUGUAAUUGCCCCUUUGAAAUAACAGAUGCCACGCACAUUAAUCAAGCAGUAGCCACCUGCACAUCCCUUCAGAGUCUGUUGCUAUUUGUGACUGGAAACUCCUGACAUGCACCGAGGCGGCUGCGUUCUGCAACAGAGCAUUUUGCACUGCAUGUGGCCACUUUGCCACUGCCUGGGUGCUGAAGCAGCCAUCCUGCAGGGUGCUGGUGGGUGCUGCCUUCUGGACGCCUCAGCAGCCUUGUCACAGAGCCAGCAAUUCGACAGGUUUUAGCUGGUAACAUUUCCUUUCCUGGGCUUGGGCACAGAACUUGAUUACUUAGCUGCUCAAAAUGUAACGGUUGAAUUCCCGAGUUAUUUUAGAGGCUGCAAGAAUUAAGAACUGGGGGUUAAAUCACAAGGAUUUUGGUAACCCUGUGAAGUUGGGGGUGAUACUCCAGGAGAAGAGGAAAUGCAAAAAGGGGGGAAAAAAUAACCUGUAAUUCAUGUAUCCGUCUUACUUGGGCUUUGUAGCAAAGAAAGGGGUAGGAAAAGACAUGGAGGUACGUGGAAAAAUGGGAUAUGUAACGGAUCUGCCCAAAGUGGAUCACAGUGGGCUGGAUCGUAGCAGAUGAGGUGGCAUCGCCUGGGCAGGUGUCUGUUUCCGAAACACAAAGUUAGGGCAUACCUCACUCGUCUGGACUUCUGAAUCGCAUCUGUUACGGUGUUUAUGAGUUGAAGAUGCUGGCAGAUGGUCGUAGGGCUGCUGGUGGUUGCACAGAACAGACAGCGAGAGGGAGUGGUGAAAGACAAGGAUCAUGUCAGGGAGAGCCUUUGCUGAGCCCCAGACCUCUUUCAGAUACAGCACGGGCACACAUGCAGGCACACCGACACAUCUGUGCACAUGCUAUAGAGCAGAAGAGUCUUGCAAUAAACCAGAAGGACUUUCUCUAGCACAAUACUGUUUUCCCUUUGUUACCAUAGAUUUAUGCCUCAAUAUUUCUGCUUUGAUUCAUUUUACAGUAAGACAAGAUGAGGUAAUAUUACCUCUUAGUAAAAUCAGUUCUAUAUUGUAUCUUGAUGUGCAUCUGUAUAUUAAAGUAAUAUUAUUAGUGGAUUUUAGGUCACUGUUGUAUCACUGCAAUAUGUUUUCAUGAAAGAAGAGACCUGGGAGAGCUGAGUUACACAACUGUGUUUGUUUUCUUCUUCUUAGCAACCUUCGCACGUUGUCCCAAGAGGUUUUCAGUCUAUGCAAGAUUAAUUGCCCAAAUAUAAAAGCCCUGUUAACCUGAAUAUAUUAUUGAAAAACAGCAUAUUUCAAUCUGCCCUAGUUUUGAAAAUAGAGAUGCCAGGUCAGCUCCUGGCAUAAAUCUGCAGUGCUCCACGAAGCCAGCGGAGCUUCUCUGAUUUACAUCGGCAAUAAAGUCGGCCUGGUUUGUCUGCCACUGAUCAGCCAGUGCGCUCGCAGAGCUGCCGCAGAGGACACGGCGGUGGCCAGGGAGGAACACUUGUGACAGUCACCACGCAACUGAAAAACUCAAACCUGCCCGCCUUGGCAUUGCAAAAUAAAAUACUUCAUUUUUCAGGUUCACAUGUUGUUUUGUUCCAAAAAUUAAAAUAACAAUAGUUUUUUAAUAGAAAACAAAAUUGUCCUUAAAAAUAUCGUUCUGUUAAGUUAACAAACCAAGAUAAUAUGGAAUGAUUUACAAGUUUUCAGCCGGUCAGUUGUUCCUUUUCUACUUGGGCUGUGCAGCACAAGACCUGCAAGCCACUGGGAACUUGGGUGUGGAUUGCCUGGCUAGCAGAGCCAUGAAUUUUGAAUUUCCACUUUUUCUCCACUAGAGGGAAUUUUAAAACUGAUCUUAGGGAUAAAGUACAGUUUUCUAUAUCUCUUGCGGGACAUUGCUGCGUGCAGUCUGGGCUGUGUCUGGAUGCACAGUGGCAUUGGCCCCUCUGUAAAACACAAAGUCCUUUCUCUGUCCUGGCUGAUUAUGGCUAAUCACAGGAAUAGCUCUGUUCGGAGAUGAACAGCAGAAAAACCUCCUUUAUUUCCUAGGGCUCAGCCUGUGCUUGCUCCCUGCCUGCAGGGAGGAGCAGGCACAGCCGUGGCUGCAGCUCCGGUGCUCGCCCAACACGCUGUCGUGCACGGGACUCUGCAUCCCGUGGGGCUCUGUUUGGGGCCAGCCAUAACCAAAAGGCCAGACCAAGCUUCCAGAUGCAGGGAUGUGUGAGUGAAGUGAAUAUUGCCUCAUGGAGCAAAUUCACCAGAAAAUGAUGGGAGAAAUACAGGCAGGCUUCCUGAGACCCUUCCCUGAUGUGAAGCUAUUCUGCCAGAGCUCCAGCUUUGAUCCCGUGGGACUGCCAGGGAAGCAGAGCAGCGCCUGGCUGCACACACGUCACAACUGUCACAGCUGCUGGAACCGGUGCGCCUCUGCCCAUGGCCAUGCCUCCAGGGCUGGCUUCCCUUUGGCCAGCCUGCACCACCAUUAUUCAGGGAAAGUUGGGAAGAUUUUCGAACAAGGAGUGAACUGGAGAAGAAUCCAGAUCUCUGGCUGCCAAUUCACAGCAUGGGGAAAAAAUAAACAUAAAUAAAAUAACUAAAUAAAUAAA